rnacentral:rRNA from 1 species
GACGAACGCUGGCGGCGUGCUUAACACAUGCAAGUCGAACGGAAAGGCCCUGCUUUUGUGGGGUGCUCGAGUGGCGAACGGGUGAGUAACACGUGAGUAACCUGCCCUUGACUUUGGGAUAACUUCAGGAAACUGGGGCUAAUACCGGAUAGGAGCUCCUGCUGCAUGGUGGGGGUUGGAAAGUUUCGGCGGUUGGGGAUGGACUCGCGGCUUAUCAGCUUGUUGGUGGGGUAGUGGCUUACCAAGGCUUUGACGGGUAGCCGGCCUGAGAGGGUGACCGGCCACAUUGGGACUGAGAUACGGCCCAGACUCCGACGGGAGGCAGCAGUGGGGAAUAUUGCACAAUGGGUGGAAGCCUGAUGCAGCAACGCCGUGUGCGGGAUGACGGCCUUGGGGUUGUAAUCCGCUUUCGCUCAUGACGAAGCUUUGUGUGACGGUAGUGGGUAAAGAAGCACCGGCUAACUACGUG